GACGAACCGUGCGAACGUUGUUCGGAAUCACUGGGCUUAAAGGGCGCGUAGGCGGGCUGUCAAGUCUGGGGUGAAAUGCCGCGGCUCAACCGUGGAACUGCCUCAGAUACUGGCGGCCUCGAGGAAGGUAGGGGCAUGCGGAACUGUAGGUGGAGCGGUGAAAUGCGUUGAUAUCUACAGGAACUCCGGUGGCGAAAGCGGCGUGCUGGACCUUUUCUGACGCUGAGGCGCGAAAGCUAGGGGAGCAAACGGG
rnacentral:rRNA from 1 species